AGUGGGAUAGCUGGGUCAAAUGGUGGUUCCAUUUCCAAUUUUCUGAGGAAUCACCAUACUGCUUUCCAUAGUGGUUGCACCAAUUUGCAGUCCCACCAGCAGU
rnacentral:pre_miRNA from 1 species